rnacentral:lncRNA from 1 species
UAGCUACCCUGUACUAACUACUAACUACAUACUGAGUAGCACUGGUUGAAGCCUUACACCUACUAGCUCCCUUGCUAGCUCCACGACUAGCUGACCUAGGUGUCUUAGUCUCUUUGUUAGUUGUUUCAGCCUUAGUAGCUAUAUGAGAAGCGGGGGAUCACAGGUCGAAGUCUGAAGUACCUUUGCUUUCAGUCUUAGCCUUCUAGCUGCGAGUUUGAUUCUGAUCCCGGUGGCUAUAGUUCUUGGUAGCUUCGGGAGGAAUGUAGCUAGUGAGUGGAAUUCUUAUUACCUAAGAUGAGGCUCCAUCCUGAUACUGCUUAGGGGCAUUCGAACUUCUUCCGUUAGAGUGGAAUUCUUUACUGAACUAACUGAUGCGGGCAAUCGGUAGGCUUACUUCAUUCUUUGACUACGGUUCCUCUCCUCUGGUAUGGGGAUGAUAGCAAUUCUAUCGGUAGGC